rnacentral:tRNA from 1 species
GGGGAUUUAGCUUAGAGACAUAAGCACCUGCCUGGCAAGCAGGAGGUUGUAAAUUCCA